UACGACGGGGGCUAGCGUUGUUCGGAUUAACUGGGCGUAAAGGGUGCGUAGGCGGGGUUUUAAGUCAGGGGUGAAAUGCCGAGGCUCAACUUCGGAACUGCCUUUGAUACUGGAACUCUUGAGUCUGGGAGAGGUGAGUGGAACUGCGAGUGUAGAGGUGAAAUUCGUAGAUAUUCGCAAGAACACCAGUGGCGAAGGCGGCUCACUGGCCCGGAACUGACGCUGAGGCACGAAAGCGUGGGGAGCAAACAGG
rnacentral:rRNA from 1 species